rnacentral:lncRNA from 1 species
CUUCCAUGAAGUCGUGGGCGACAGCAGCAGUGGUACAGCAACGGGUUCCUAUUUCUUUCUUUUCUUCCUUCGGCGACUCUCCUCUUAUCAUUUCAUUUCUUUUCGUGGGAAGUAAUUCCCAGAAUACCCAAACUAUUAUCUCUCCCUUAUGCACUCUAUGGGAACUUGGCCUUUGAGCUUGAUGGGAGCAGCCCCCGGUGGGGAAGAAGGAAUGCCUCCUCUCAUCAAAAGUCUUCCUUUUAUAUAGGCGGUCCAUAUCCCUGUCUCUCUUCCUCGUGGCUGUUCCGAUUGGGUGGAUAAGGCAUGAGCUGAUCCGGGCGUUGGAAGAGGCUGAGCUGGGAAGCUUGAUCCGCAGACUGUUGCAGUUCUGAUCCGUUGAAGCAAGGGAUAAGGGUGGCAGGUGGGUAGAAUUUUAAGGAGGUUAGGAGGAGAUGAGCGUGGGACGUUAGGUGUUGAUGAGGAACGCUAUUUCGAACGGGAUGUGCGGAAGAAAGUCUGGGCGCAUGGGAUAAGGAUGAACUCGGAACAGGGGCGCUGGGACGGACGCAGAGGAGAUGAGGAGGAAGAGUUUUGAACCUUAUCCGUGGGAGAUAUGGCUGGAGAUGAAGCUAAUCCGAGCUUAUCCGGGUUGGGAUGCAGCCGUUGGCUGGUUAUGGAUACAGCCGUUGGCUGGUUAUGGAUACAGCCGUUGGCUGGUUAUGGAUGCAGGGGAUGUGGACACAGCUGGGAGUUUGGUUGGAUUUGUAAACGGGAUAAGAUUUGUUCUGCUGGGAACAGAGGAGCUGGGAGCUUAUCCAGAUGCUGGCCAUGGGAUCCUUGGAUGCAG